rnacentral:rRNA from 1 species
AUUGAACGCUGGCGGCAUGCCUUACACAUGCAAGUCGAACGGCAGUACGGGUGCUUGCACCUGGUGGCGAGUGGCGAACGGGUGAGUAAUACAUCGGAACAUGUCCUGUAGUGGGGGAUAGCCCGGCGAAAGCCGGAUUAAUACCGCAUACGAUCCACGGAUGAAAGCGGGGGACCUUCGGGCCUCGCGCUAUAGGGUUGGCCGAUGGCUGAUUAGCUAGUUGGUGGGGUAAAGGCCUACCAAGGCGACGAUCAGUAGCUGGUCUGAGAGGACGACCAGCCACACUGGGACUGGGACACGGCCCAGACUCCUACGGGAGGCAGCAGUGGGGAAUUUUGGACAAUGGGCGAAAGCCUGAUCCAGCAAUGCCGCGUGUGUGAAGAAGGCCUUCGGGUUGUAAAGCACUUUUGUCCGGAAAGAAAUCCUUGACUCUAAUACAGUCGGGGGAUGACGGUACCGGAAGAAUAAGCACCGGCUAACUACGUG